UACGUAGGGUGCAAGCGUUGUCCGGAAUUAUUGGGCGUAAAGAGCUCGUAGGCGGUCUGUCGCGUCUGCUGUGAAAAACUCGGGGCUUAACCCCGGGCCUGCAGUGGGUACGGGCAGACUAGAGUGCGGUAGGGGAGACUGGAAUUCCUGGUGUAGCGGUGAAAUGCGCAGAUAUCAGGAGGAACACCGGUGGCGAAGGCGGGUCUCUGGGCCGUAACUGACGCUGAGGCGCGAAAGCGUGGGGAGCAAACAGG
rnacentral:rRNA from 1 species